rnacentral:lncRNA from 1 species
GAGAUCGAUGUGAAGUCUUGUGGCAACAUGAAGAGGGUAGUUGAAUCUGAGUGGCUUCUCCAUUUCCCUAAUCUGAAGAAGGUUAAAGUACGGGGAUGCAAGAAGAUGGUCGAGAUAAUAGGACGGCCACCUCCAUGCAUGCCAGUGGAUACGGCCCUUUUGGAUGUGAGCUCAUUUCAAAAACUCGAGCUUCUAGAGAUUAUUGAAGGGGAGAACUUGCAGGUGCUCUGUGGAGCAGUAGAUGAACAAGAAGUAAUCAACGGGCAUUCCUACUCUCUCUCCUUCCCCUGUCUUAAGAAGCUAAAUAUCCAGAGAUGUCUGAAACUUAAGUAUCUGUUCGGCCACGGGUGUGAACACUCCUUUCCAGACCUACAGGCGAUUGUCAUCCAGGGUUGUGAGGAAAUAGAAGGGAUAACUACAGCGGCAGCUGGUUCACCGGUUCCUGCUUUCCCCAGUCUAGAAGAGAUCGAUGUGUCUUGUGGCAACAUGAAGAGGGUAGUUGAAUCUGAGUGGCUUCUCCAUUUCCCUAAUCUGAAGAAGGUUAAAGUAUGGGGAUGCAAGAAGAUGGUCGAGAUAAUAGGACGGCCACCUCCAUGCAUGCCAGUGGAUACGGCCCUUUUGGAUGUGAGCUCAUUUCAAAAACUCGAGCUUCUAGAGAUUAUUGAAGGGGAGAACUUGCAGGUGCUCUGUGGAGCAGUAGAUGAACAAGAAGUAAUCAACGGGCAUUCCUACUCUCUCUCCUUCCCCUGUCUUAAGAAGCUAAAUAUCCAGAGAUGUCUGAAACUUAAGUAUCUGUUCGGCCACGGGUGUAAACUCUUCUUUCCAGACCUACAGGCGAUUGUCAUCAAGGGUUGUGAGGAAAUAGAAGGGAUAACUGCAGCGGCAGCUGGUUCACUGCUUCCUGCUUUCCCCAGUCUAGAAACGAUCAAUGUGGAGUCUUGUGGCAACAUGAAGGGGGUAGUUGAAUCUGAGUGGCUUCUCCAUUUCCCUAAUCUGAAGGAGAUUAAAGUACAGAGAUGCAAGAAGAUGGUCGAGAUUAUAGGACGGCCAC